rnacentral:rRNA from 1 species
UACGGAGGGUGCGAGCGUUGUCCGGAAUCAUUGGGCGUAAAGGGCGCGUAGGUGGCGGCUUAAGCGUGCGGUGAAAGCUCGGGGCUCAACCCCGAGUCGGCCGUGCGAACUGAGUCGCUUGAGCACUGUAGAGGCAGGCGGAAUUCCGGGUGGAGUGGUGAAAUGCGUAGAGAUCCGGAGGAACACCAAAGGCGAAGGCAGUGUCCUGGGGAGUACCUGACGCUCAGGUGCGAAAGCCAGGGGAGCGAACGGG